rnacentral:hammerhead_ribozyme from 1 species
AUCCAGAUGACGAGUCCCAAAUAGGACGAAACGUACAUCGUGGAU